rnacentral:rRNA from 1 species
ACGGAAGGCAGCAGUGGGGAAUAUUGGACAAUGGGGGAGACCCUGAUCCAGCGACGCCGCGUGAGUGAAGAAGUAUUUCGGUACGUAAAGCUCUAUCAGCAAGGAAGAAAAUGACGGUACUUGACUAAGAAGCUCCGGCUAAAUACGUGCCAGCAGCCGCGGUAAUACGUAUGGAGCAAGCGUUAUCCGGAUUUACUGGGUGUAAAGGGAGCGUAGACGGCGAAGCAAGUCUGAAGUGAAAUGCCGGGGCUUAACCCCGGAACUGCUUUGGAAACUGUUUUGCUAGAGUGCAGGAGAGGUAAGCGGAAUUCCUAGUGUAGCGGUGAAAUGCGUAGAUAUUAGGAGGAACACCAGUGGCGAAGGCGGCUUACUGGACUGUAACUGACGUUGAGGCUCGAAAGCGUGGGGAGCAAACAGGAUUAGAUACCCUGGUA